rnacentral:rRNA from 1 species
AUCCGGAAUCAUUGGGCGUAAAGCGCCUGUAGGUUGUUUACUAAGUCUGUUGUUAAAGACUAGGGCUUAACCCUAGAAAAGCAAUGGAAACUAAUAGACUAGAGUAUGGCAGGGGUAGAGGGAAUUUCUAGUGUAGCGGUGAAAUGCGUAGAUAUUAGAAAGAACACCAGCGGCGAAAACGCUCUACUGGACCAUUACUGACACUCAGAGGCGAAAGCUAGGGUAGCAAAAGGGAUUAGAUACCCCUGUAGUCCUAGCCGUAAACGAUGGAUACUAGAUGUUGUGCUUCCGUACAGUAUCGUAGCUAACGCGUUAAGUAUCCCGCCUGGGGAGUACGCUCGCAAGGGUGAAACUCAAAGGAAUUGACGGGGGCCCGCACAAGCGGUGGAGCAUGUGGUUUAAUUCGAUGCAACGCGAAGAACCUUACCAGGGCUUGACAUACUACAGAUUCUUUAGAGAUAGAGAAGUGCCUUCGGGAAUGUAGAUACAGGUGGUGCAUGGCUGUCGUCAGCUCGUGUCGUGAGAUGUUGGGUUAAGUCCCGCAACGAGCGCAACUCUUAUUUUUAGUUACCAAUUCGUUGGGUUCUCUAGAAAGACUGCCGGUGACAAACCGGAGGAAGGUGAGGAUGACGUCAAGUCAGCAUGCCCUUAUGUCCUGGGCACACACGUGCUACAAUGUAAGACAAAGAGUCGCAAUUCGCGAGAUGAGCUAAUCUCAUAAACUUUAUCUAAGUUCGAGUGACGCUGCA